GUGUCAGCAGCCGCGGUAACACGAACCGGGCAAACGUUAUUCGGAAUUACUGGGCUUAAAGGGUGCGUAGGCUGCGCUAUAAGUCGGGUGUGAAAUCCCUCAGCUCAACUGAGGAACUGCGCCCGAUACUGUAGUGCUUGAGGAGGAUAGAGGUGAGCGGAACUAGCAGUGGAGCGGUGAAAUGCGUUGAUAUUGCUGGGAACACCCGUGGCGAAAGCGGCUCACUGGGUCCUUUCUGACGCUGAGGCACGAAAGCUAGGGGAGCGAACGGGAUUAGAAACCCUUGUAGUCC
rnacentral:rRNA from 1 species